UUGCUUGGAUGAGUUAGCUAUAGCUACUGAUAUGCUACAAGCACUCUCUUUACUCCUCUCUUCUCCUUCCUUCGUUGACCCUUCCUGUGAGCUCCGCCUUUUUGAACAGUCGCUUUCUUCAACCUUGUCUCUCCUUAUUCUUUUAACCCUUCAAACAUGUUGGUCCGCUUCAGCUUUUGUCAGUGCAAUCUUUGGGAGUUGAUAUAUGGGGGGUGGAGGGAGGGGUUUCAGAGAGUUACAUGGCAUAGAUCUGCAUAAGAACAUCACGUAUCUGUGAGGCAUUUACAUACAAAUCUUUGUCAAUUUUGCAUUUUAUAUCUCUAUUUUUUAUUUAUUUUUUUUGUUUGUUGGAGUAGUAGUAGUGAUUGACAUGCAUUUACAGAGAGCUUUCUUCAGUCCACUCAUGGGUGGCAAUAAGAUUUAAUUAGCUGCCGACUCAUUCAUCCAAAUACUGAGUUAAAGGGCUAGCUGAGGAGGUUACCCAGUAAAUGAGUGAAUGAAGCGGGAGACAAAUUGAAUCUUAAGCUUCCUGUACUUGGACUGAAGGGAGCUCCCUUUACUGUUAUUUUAUCAAAUAAUAUAUAUGUUUUUCUUUUUCUUAGAUUCUUAACUUCUUCUCUACUUGCUUAUUCUCACAAUUUUAUAUUCUCAUGGCUGCCAAUGCUUUUGGUAUAAAGCACUUUGAUGCUCAUGAGGUAAUGCUAGAGAACCCUCAACUUAUCCGUUUUCUUUGAGCGAUCUUUAUCUAGCUUUUCUUAAACUUUUCUUCGAGCUUUGUUAUCUUGUUUGGUGACCUAGAAAGAGAACUGUACAUCUGGCUUAUUAUCUUCUGGGUAUUUCUGAUGCUUUUUUCUUAUGUAUUUUCGCUUCUGUCUGAUCUCCUUUUGCCUCGAAACAAUCAGGUUGCAAAGGUAGGGUUAUGGGAUAUGACGAGCUUAAGAAACUGACUUUUACUCGCCUUCAUAUCCAACAUCUGUUCUUAAAUAAAGAGCAACUGAUCUACAAAAUUUGCUUGCAGUAGCAACAGGUAGUGAUCUAAUGAGGGUUUGAUUUUUAGGGUUUGUAUAUAUCAAUCUGUAUGCAGUUCUUGUAAAAAGCUACCAUUAAAAGGCAACCGCAUGAGGGAGAUAAGCUUACAAGCUCAUCACGCUCCUCGACAAUAGCUUCUUGGGUCUUGCUUUCUAACAGGCAGCAACAAGUUCCUAGACGAGCUGGACAUGUCUCCCAGAGGUUCAAUUACCGAAAUAUCCUCAAACAGAGCUUCGAGCAGUGCUUCAAGGAGGAUAUUUUAAUUAAUUUGUAGCAAAUAUAUAGUUAGAAGAACUUUCUCUUCAUCUCUAGUUUCCUUCUGAUCUGCUUUGUUUACUGGUUUCUAAUUCAUUUAAAUACGAGUAGUUUUCUUUAUUAUUUUCUGUCCUCUUUCAGUUAAGCAAAGCUUCUCUUGGGCUUCUAAGCUUGAGCACUGUAUUUUCACGUACUACAUAUUGGAACUGUAUCUUGUAUAUAUAUAUAUAUAUACUGUCGUUUUCAUUAUGUGAAUUCCAUCGAUGGGUUUUGUUUUCCGAUCUUCCAGGCAAAAGAUCCAAACUUCUAAGGUCCUUUCCUUGAUUUGCAAUGUAAAAGAAAACGUGAGACUAAGAUGGUUGUGGCAGUAUGAGUAGUGUGGUGAAAGGGAAAGCUGGAGCCCUGGUUUUUUGUUUGUCUUGAAGCCUUUUAGGAGUGGCAAAAUGUGUCACCACCACAAAAUACAAAUGGAGACGCCUCAUGGAAACUAUAGGAAGACUCGGGAAAAGGUAGAUUAGGUCUUUAAUCUGUCAUCUUCUCUCUUUUCCAACAUCUAUUCAAUUCUCUAAUGUGGUUAUUUAGGAACCAUCCACAUAUAGUUAUCUUUGAUUUUCUUUAUCUCUAAUUAAUAACUUUAGGUACUUCAAUUAAUUAUUAAGAUAGUGGAUAGCAGAAAAAGAAAAGGUACAUUAGUAUACUUAAGUGUCCAU
rnacentral:lncRNA from 1 species